AUUGAACGCUGGCGGCAGGCCUAACACAUGCAAGUCGAGCGGAUGAAGGGAGCUUGCUCCUGGAUUCAGCGGCGGACGGGUGAGUAAUGCCUAGGAAUCUGCCUGGUAGUGGGGGAUAACGUCCGGAAACGGGCGCUAAUACCGCAUACGUCCUGAGGGAGAAAGUGGGGGAUCUUCGGACCUCACGCUAUCAGAUGAGCCUAGGUCGGAUUAGCUAGUUGGUGGGGUAAAGGCCUACCAAGGCGACGAUCCGUAACUGGUCUGAGAGGAUGAUCAGUCACACUGGAACUGAGACACGGUCCAGACUCCUACGGGAGGCAGCAGUGGGCAAUAUUGGGCAAUGGGCGAAAGCCUUAUCCAGCCAUGCCGCGUGCGUGAAGAAGGUCUUCGGAUUGUAAAGCACUUUAAGUUGGGAGGAAGGGCAGUAAGUUAAUACCUUGCUGUUUUGACGUUACCAACAGAAUAAGCACCGGCUAACUUCGUG
rnacentral:rRNA from 1 species